UGGUGGAGUGAUUUGUCUGGUUAAUUCCGUUAACGAACGAGACCCCCGCCUGCUAAAUAGUGCCAUUAAUGCUUUGCAUUGGUGGAUCGCUUCUUAGAGGGACUGUAUGAGACUAUCAUACGGAAGUUGGGGGCAAUAACA
rnacentral:rRNA from 1 species